CUUUAGAUCACCUAAGUGAAGCAUCAUUGGGCGCGGCCAGUACUUGGGUGGGUGACCACCUGGGAACACCGCGUGCCGUU